ACACAUCCGUUCUCAGCCCUGCUGUUCCCACUCCUGGGCCCUGCUGCCCUGCUGCCCUGCUGUCCCUCCCUCCCCCCUGCCCAGCCUCUCCUGGCACCGUCAUCUUUAUCCACCUCACCCGUCUUGCGUUCCCACUUUUCUGCUGUAGGCAGUCUUCAAAAGAAAAAAAAAACCACUCCUUCUCCAGUUUCUGCCCUAUAUCCUUCCUGCGAUAGAACUCCUCUCCAUCUGCCAAACCAUAUUGCUUCUGUCCUGCGAAGCGGUGUCCCCACCUUCUUUCUGCGAGGAGGGAGAGGCGCAGACUCCCUGGGCGUUUCCGAGCACAGUCUGAGGCUGGACUGAGACCCAGCCCUCCACCCCCAGCCCCAGGGCGGAACAGACCUAGGCUGUUACAUAAACACAGUGUCAGCUGGGAGCCGGGUCCUGUGUUUCCUGGGGCUAAGCCUCUCGGUGGAAAGGGGCGGCAGUUCCGAGUGUAUAACAAAGCCUCCCUCACUCUGUUUAGACUUCGGUGAAGGGUUUGUUUGUCCCAGCUCUGAAGGUGACGUGGGACCUGCGGUCAGGAUCCAUCUGGCUCUGAGGAAGUGCAGUGGGCACUUGGGCCUCCUGUAGUCUCUGCCACUCACAGUCACUUCUGACCCCGUGUCCAGGACAGGAGGAAGCAGGGGAUGUUUGGCUUUCCUGUGUUUCAGGACAGGAUUUGAGGAGAGGGAGACCAUUUUGAAAAGUUCCUUUCCCACCAGAGGCCAAGGAAAGAGAAAACCUGCCCAUUACUUGGCCUUAGGGAGUGGAAGAAGUACAGCCUUCAGCUGGGAGGGAGAGCUGGAGGGCUCACUAUGUGCAGAGCCUCUGAGCCACCUUCACCUCACUAGUGGGGAAACUGAGGCUCAGAGAAGGGAGGGAGCCAAGCGGAUACAGCCAGGGAGAGUAUAGGCCUUCAACAGGAGCCCGCUUCCGGCUUGGCACUCACCUGCAGUGAGCGCUCCCUGACAGCUUGGGUUUCCUGGCUGAGUCCUAGAAAGAGGGAUGCAGGAGAACGAGGGCCUCAGUCCAAAUGGGGACACUGGGCACGUGGAGCGCAGGAUGUUGUACCAAGCUAGCCAGGAGCCCCAAAGGAGCCCGGGAUCUUUCCAGGACCUGCUGGUCCCAGUCGUUGUGUGCAGCAGGAGGACCUCUUGCAGUGCACAUGUGCCGGAUACAUGCUUUGCGUGCCCGCUAUACGAAGAGCUCCUGCAGAUUAAGAAAACGAUUUGAAAAACCCAAGAGAAAAACAGGCCAAAAGAAAAGAAAGACAGGCAAAGAGUAGGAUCAAGACAAAUGAAAGAAGAGGAAAUGCUUUGUGUUGCUGAUGAACAUGAAAAGGCGCAACCUCACUAGUAAUCAGGGGCGUGCCCAUCAGAAGCGCCAGGGACUGGUUCCCCGGUUGGAAGAGCAGACUGCUGGCGCACAGGGUGCACCGACAUCCCCACCCACGGCUGGUGGAGAGCAGGAGAAGGGAUUGCUACGACCAACCUGGAAAAGUAACGGCGUUAUCCAUUCACAUGAAGCAUUCACAUGCCUCGGGAAGAACACACCAUAGGCACACAGGUAUUGAUUACCGCCUUGCUUGUGGUAGCUAAAAAAGAAGGAAGUGACGUGACUGUCCCUCAGCAGGGGAAGGGUUGAAGAACGGACAGAACAUGCAUACUGUGAGAUGCUAUGAAGCCAGGCCACCGGAGCAAGCUAGAGCCAACCCAGUGGCCUGGGGAGGGCCCCAGGUGCCCCUGGCGGGGCGGUUUGGUGUGAACUGCAGCGUGAGCAGGAGCUGGGAAGACAGUCACUCAGGACGCAUCUGUGUUAAGGAGAGGGAAGAGGGCAUGCGGCCAAAACAGUGGUUUUCUGAGCAUGUUGUGAAUGUUUUCUUACCCUGAAAUAAAAUUUAAAAAAGA